rnacentral:rRNA from 1 species
CGAUUCGCCCUUCGGGGUGCAGCAGGCGCGAAAACUUUGCAAUACACGAAAGUGUGACAGGGUCAUCCCGAGUGCCGACCGCUGAGGUUGGCUUUUACCCAGUCUAGAAAGCUGGGGGAAUAAGGAGAGGGCAAGUCUGGUGUCAGCCGCCGCGGUAAUACCAGCUCUCCGAGUGGUGUGGACGUUUAUUGGGCCUAAAGCAUCCGUAGCUGGCUGAACAAGUCCCCUGUUAAACCCACCGAUUUAAUCGUUGGUCUGCGGGGGAUACUGCUCGGCUAGGGGACGAGAGAGGCAGACGGUAUUCCCGGGGUAGGGGUGAAAUCCUAUAAUCCCGAGAAGACCACCAGUGGCGAAGGCUGUCUGCUAGAACGCGCCCGACGGUGAGGGAUGAAAGCUGGGGGAGCGAACCGGAUUAGAUACCCGGGUAGUCCCAGCUGUAAACGAUGCAGACUAGGUGUUUGGACGGCCACGUGCCGUUCUAGUGCCGCAGGGAAGCUGUUAAGUCUGCCGCCUGGGGAGUACGAUCGCAAGAUUGAAACUUAAAGGAAUUGGCGGGGGAGCAC